rnacentral:rRNA from 1 species
CAGCACCUCAAGUGGUCAGGAUGAUUAUUGGGCCUAAAGCAUCCGUAGCCGGCUCUGUAAAUUUUCGGUUAAAUCUGUAUGCUCAACAUACAGGCUGCCGGGAAUACUGCAGAGCUAGGGAGUGGGAGAGGUAGACGGUACUCGGUAGGAAGGGGUAAAAUCCUUUGAUCUAUUGAUGACCACCUGUGGCGAAGGCGGUCUACCAGAACACGUCCGACGGUGAGGGAUGAAAGCUGGGGGAGCAAACCGGAUUAGAUACCCGAGUAGUCC